rnacentral:rRNA from 1 species
AGCGAACGCUGGCGGCAGGCCCAACACAUGCGAGUCGAACGGAUCCUUCGGGAUUAGUGGCGGACGGGUGAGUAACACGUGGGAACGUGCCCUUUGGUUCGGAACAACUCAGGGAAACUUGAGCUAAUACCGGAUGUGCCCUUCGGGGGAAAGAUUUAUCGCCAUUGGAGCGGCCCGCGUCUGAUUAGCUAGUUGGUGAGGUAACGGCCCACCAAGGCGACGAUCAGUAGCUGGUCUGAGAGGAUGAUCAGCCACACUGGGACUGAGACACGGCCCAGACUCCUACGGGAGGCAGCAGUGGGGAAUCUUGCGCAAUGGGCGAAAGCCUGACGCAGCCAUGCCGCGUGAAUGAUGAAGGUCUUAGGAUUGUAAAAUUCUUUCAGCGGGGACGAUAAUGACGGUACCCGCAGAAGAAGCGCCGGCUAACUUCGUG